UACGUAGGGUGCAAGCGUUGUCCGGAAUUAUUGGGCGUAAAGAGCUCGUAGGCGGUCUGUUGCGUCGGCUGUGAAAACCCGGGGCUCAACCCCGGGCCUGCAGCCGAUACGGGCAGACUAGAGUUCGGCAGGGGAGACUGGAAUUCCUGGUGUAGCGGUGAAAUGCGUAGAGAUCAUGAGGAAGACCAGUGGCGAAGGCGGGUCUCUGGACAGUUCCUGACGCUGAGACACGAAGGCCAGGGGAGCAAACGGG
rnacentral:rRNA from 1 species